AUUGAACGCUGGCGGAAUGCUUUACACAUGCAAGUCGAACGGCAGCACGGACUUCGGUCUGGUGGCGAGUGGCGAACAGGUGAGUAAUGUAUCGGAACGUGCCCAGUCGUGGGGGAUAACGUAAUGAAAAUUACGCUAAUACCGCAUACGAUCUAUGGAUGAAAGCGGGGGAUCGCAAGACCUCGCGCGAUUGGAGCGGCCGAUAUCAGAUUAGGUAGUUGGUGGGGUAAAGGCCCACCAAGCCAACGAUCUGUAGCUGGUCUGAGAGGACGACCAGCCACACUGGAACUGAGACACGGUCCAGACUCCUACGGGAGGCAGCAGUGGGGAAUUUUGGACAAUGGGCGAAAGCCUGAUCCAGCCAUUCCGCGUGCAGGAUGAAGGCCCUCGGGUUGUAAACUGCUUUUGUACAGAACGAAAAGGUUUCUACUAAUACUAGGAGCUCAUGACGGUACUGUAAGAAUAAGCACCGGCUAACUACGUGCCAGCAGCCGCAGUAA
rnacentral:rRNA from 1 species